rnacentral:tRNA from 1 species
GCAUUGGUGGUUCAGUGGUAGAAUACUCGCCUGCCACGCGGGUGACCCGGGUUCGAUUCCCGGCCGAAGCA